AGUAGCCUCCUAUUGACAGACAACUGCAGUCGAGAUUCCAGUUUCUAGAUGAGCAAAACAGGAAAGAAGUAUCAAUAGCAUAUUAAAGGACACAAAUGACUCAGGCCUGCUCUCUGUGCUGUGAAGACAUCCACACACACUGUGCCCAGGGUGAGAGAAAGGCACAUUUAUUGCUGAUUUCCAUGAUGCAUUUGUUGUGAAGAUUGGCAGAUACAAUUCAAGAAAGCCAAGUAGAUUGUUCGAAUUACAGUUGAAGAAAAGCCAAAUCCUUCAUGCUCAUAGCCUCUUUAUGGACCUAGAAACUUCAGGUGUGGACACUGAGCAGGCUGCCUAGGCUGCCCCUCUGCUCUCUGGACAUUUUGUUGGCAGAGGGAGGAGCUGCUACUAUCCUAGGCCUCACUGGCAAGGGAGGCCAUUCCCAGGCUAGAGGAGAAACUAUGAGAACUCUGCACCUCAUUAGACUGCAAACGAAGAUACAUCCUGAUUUUUAUAUAGCCAUGGAUUUGUAGCAAUUUUAUUAUUUUUACAAUCUCACUAUGAUUAUUACAAUAAAAGUUUUAAGUGCAAUGUUCCUAACUCAAGGAAACAUAAAUGCUUAAGGUGAUGGAUACCCCAGUUACCCUGAUUUGGUCAUUAUAUGUUGUAUGCCUGUGUCAAAACAUUACAUGUACCCCAGAAAUACAUAC